rnacentral:rRNA from 1 species
UACGAAGGUGGCAAGCGUUGUUCGGAUUUACUGGGCGUACAGGGAGCGUAGGCGGUUGGGUAAGCCCUCCGUGAAAUCUCCGGGCCUAACCCGGAAAGUGCGGAGGGGACUGCUCGGCUAGAGGAUGGGAGAGGAGCGCGGAAUUCCCGGUGUAGCGGUGAAAUGCGUAGAGAUCCGGAGGAACCCCAGAGGCGAAGGCGGCGUCCUGGCUCGCAUCUGACGCUCAGACACGACAGCAUGGGGAGCGAACGGG